CUAGAAACGAUCAAAUCACAUAGAGCUGGUGGCGUUUGCCCAAUUUUGUUUCCAACAUGAGCAAGCCAUGCGACGGUGCCAAGACGGAGUGGCCUGAGCUGGUCGGGCGCACGAUCAAGGAGGCGGAGGAGAAGAUCAAGGCGGACCGGCCGGACCUCAAAGUCAGAAUUGUCCCGGUAGGAAGUAUUGUGACACACGACGAAGAUUUGAACCGCGUCCGUGUCUGGGUCGACAUGGUGGCGGAGGUUCCCAAGAUUGGCUAAGCUAGCUCAUAAUUAGCCGACUGGAAUAAAAGCCCAUGCAAGUCUCAACAUCGUCCAGUUAAUCGGCCAAAUAUAUAAGCAUGGUACAUUCUGAA